rnacentral:piRNA from 1 species
UGAUCAACUCCUUUAGGAUUGCCUGUGGAUU